rnacentral:rRNA from 1 species
CUACCCUACGGUCUGGGACAACAUCUCGAAAGGGGUGCUAAUACCGGAUAAGACCACACCAUCUUAUGGUGGAGUGGAAAAAGGUGGCCUCUUCAUGAAAGCUAUCGCCGAAGGAUGAGCUCGCGGCCCAUCAGCUAGUUGGUGAGGUAAUGGCUUACCAAGGCUAAGACGGGUAGCUGGUCUGAGAGGAUGAGCAGCCACACUGGAACUGAGACACGGUCCAG